AUGUCAGGCUCUUCCAUAGAGCUUAUCCACUUCUAACCAUUUCAUAAGCAUUAAUUACUCAUUCACUCUUCACAACUAUCAUCUUCAACAUCAUAAUCAUUAUCACCUUAGAGUAGGAAAACUCAAGAGAAAAGUUAAGCACAGUGCCAAACUCCCCAUUGUACUAAGUGGCAGAGUCUGGAACCAAAGCCAGUAGUCAAUGCUGUUAAAUGCUCCACUCUUUACUGUCUCUCAGUGACGGAAGCUACUAGUCAAAGAGGUAUACACAGGAUAUUUUCAUCAUUCUAUUCACCUCAAUGUAAACCUUUCAAGGAUAUCUAUUCCUCACAGAAAGUAAAAGCUAUGCUUGUAGAGUGAUAUUCAAGGUUUUUCAAAAUUUGACCUCAAUUUUAUUUCCCACUUCUCUCCUCUAUAUAAAUUGAUAAGUUUCUAAACCCUGAGAACUUGUAUCUGAUGCUAUUGUUCAUAUAAUUUUCUACAACUAAGUUUAUUUUCAUCUCUACAAACUCAUCUAUUAUUUUACUUCUUUACCUUUGUAAUACUUGACUUCUAAUCCCAGAUACAAGUGUUCUUUCCCUCUUACAUAACAAUGCAUAUGCAUCAUUCUCAUUUGCAUAUCCAUUCACUUGCUAUAUGCUACUUUUAAAAUACUUACUUCAUGAUCAUUUAUGUAUAUAACUUAUUGCCCUUAAAAGGCAUAAUCUCUUGGAAGGCAAGCAACGUAUAGUUUCCAUUGUAAUAUCUCCCAUGUGCCUGGCUUAGGUGCAUUAAGACUAUUAUGGAUUGAUUUAUUGAUAAGUUGAGUUAUUUAACCAAACUAAUGCUGGCAAUUUGAUUUUUACAAGAAAUUAUUGUGAUGAAGACAAACCUUGUCAGCCUGGCCCAUCUCUAGCAUUUGGGAGUGAACCAGUAGAUGGAAGAUGUUUCUGUGUUCCUACAAACAAAAUAUUUUUAAAAAAUCAUGAAUAUGAGGCCCGAGUUCCAAAGAGAGAUGAUCAGGCAUUGCAUGAUUCUCAAGUUACACGUUGGGGCUGGUAGCACAAGGUGAAACUGUAAUGGACUCCGAGAAACAACAAAAAGAAAAAGACAAAGAGGAGGACUAAGAAAGGAAUGAGGAGAAGGAGUAGGAAGAGGAGGGAAUUUGAAGAGGUGAGCUAAAUAAAUCUGAAAGGAUAUCAAUGUUGUGGAGGUGAAUAAUAAGCUUUGCAUCCAGAAAAGAACAAUACAUCUACCAAGCUCAUUCUCCAAUUUCUGGCAUGUUUUGUGGCUAUGGAAAUAACACCCUAAAGAAUCUAUAAAUUUUAUUCUCUAGGAAAAAAUCAUUAUGAAUACAGAAUGAUAUCAUUAUAGCUCAGAAUCUUCCAGAACAUGCUUAAUUCACCAUAAAAAUUCUUUGUCUGAGAGUGUACAUUUUGUCCUAAGUAGUCAUUGCCAAAGACAUAAUACUAGGCUUCAUAAGAAAUCUCACUAACAAGCACUUUUACUUUCAUCUUGGAAAAAGUCUAACAAUGUUGUUUGAGGCAGAGGGCUAUCAAUUAAGUGAAAGUAAAGAGACAUCAAAAUCAAACACUUUUAAAUCUUUCUCUAUUUCUGUAUGUCAAUAACAAGUAAUUUAAAAUUUUUAUUUACUUUUUUAUUAGAAAAUGUUGAACCAGAUGAUCUCUCAAGUCCUACCAAGCUCCAGCCUCUUCUGACAUUGUGAGAGUAGUCUUGGAGUUUUAUUUGUGAAUAUUGUUUGUCAAGAAUACUAAAUUCUAUGAAAAUUAUCAUAUUCCCUAGAUGAUCAUCUGCUAAAUUCUGAAGCUAUACCUUUUUUUGGAUUGGGAAGUGAUUUUAUUAUUUUUCCCUCAGUUUUAAAAAAAGUAUUAAUUAAUUUUUAUUCAUUCAAAAGAGAGGGAGGGAGACAGAGAGAGAGAGAGAGAAAGAGAGAGAAGACUCUCUUCUAUUUGCUGGUUUACUCCCCAGAUGCCCUCAACAACUUCUGAAACCAGAACCCUGGAACUCAAUCCUGUUCUCUCAACAGGUGACAGGGACUCAAGUACUUUGGCCAUUGCUACUACCCAUAGGUUGCACAUAGCAAGAAACUGGAAUGGGAGCAAAGCAGGAUUUGAAUCCAGGAAUGUGAUAUAAGAUACAGACAUCCCGAGUAGGAUCUUAACCUCUACACCAAACAUCCACCUCUUCCCCAGUGGUCUUAAUGUGAGACUGAACUAAUUGUGGAUACCUAUGGCCUAUUUGAAAUAGAGUUUGGAAUUAGUUUGGAAGGGGCUAGACAAAAAUUAUGAUGGGAUAGGGGCGGGGAGAGAUAGCACAACUUCCUAUCCCAGGGUGUAGUGUGGGUCACAUUGCUGAGGCCAGAGACUUGAAAACAGGAUGCCUACUCCAGUUCAGAGAAAGAGCUAGACAAAGCAGAGUUAUCCUUAUUUGCAGUCACUAGAACAUUUUUGUCCUGUUUUUUUACCAGCUCCCUGUCAAAGCUUUAUAUAUGGAGAUAUAAUGUCUCCUUACUAAUUUUGGUUUUGUAAAUGUUUCCAAACUCAUAUUUCCUAUGACACUUGAAAACAUUCUCUGACAACUGUAAAUCAGAGACAUUUGAGUUUUAUAGAUACUUUGUUAGACUAUGAACAUGGUCUUAUCAUCCUCUACUUUUUUUUCCCACCAAGGGUCAAGGCCUUCUUUGUUUUUCUUUUUCUAAAUCAGUUUGUUGAGGGCUGGUAUGAUAAUGAACUAUAAUGUAUGCUAAACACAUAGAAGACAAGGAUCACAGACAAUUUCUCCAAGGCUCAAAUAAAUUGGGCUGUGAAGGUUGAUGAUGGAAACUAUGGGGGAUAUUUAAAUAUUAAGUUUAUUCAUUUUGUUCUGAUUGAAACAAUCAAAAUAGAGCAUUGAGCCAUCAUUUCAGUGGGAGGUUAUAGUAGGUGACUGACUGAGAUGAUAUCAUAGUCCUUCAAGACUUCGCUGGGAAAUUACCCUAGGUGAUCUUAUUGUUCACAUGAUUUUUAAAAAGGCACAGAAGCACAUUUUCUAUAUAUAAUUGUCAGAGUUGCUGCAUGAUGUUCUACCUAAAUGGGAGUUGUUUAAUGCAGCAUUUAGACUCAUGCAUUGAGAACAAAGGCUUACUGUGGAUAACAUAAUAGCUUCCUUGGGAGACUAUGGUUAUUUAUAUCAAUAUGAUAAUAUAAGCCACAGAAAUCAGGCACAAACAGAUAAUAAUUCAGGAUUCUGUGUGUAGCCAGAAGGGUGAGAUACUUGCUCCUGUAUGUCCAGGGUAAAUAGCUGCCAUUCCUAGAGCUAAAUUAGAAAUAAUUUAUCUGUUCAGCGUGGUUUCUACAUGAAUAUCACAUAGGGUGUCUUUCAUUAGACUCCAUUGUACAUCUUGGGUUUAUUGUGGGGAGGGGUAUCUUUAACUUUGCUUUCUCUUCUUGGCCUUGUUUCUCUUCAACUCUCCCUCCCAUGCUUCUUUUCCUCUAUGUCUGUCUAUCUUUCUCUUCACUUACAUCUUCCCGUCCCAGACAACACUACCCUUAAUUCACAAAAUAAACCCUUGGAAAACAGCAUGAGAAAUGGAUGCCUUUCAUUCUCCUAGUUAGUGUUCUAGCUCAGAUACUUUCACUCACUCAUAUGCCUGACAUUCCAUGACGACUUGCCAUUUUAUAACAUGCAUACUGUGAGACCCCAUCAUCAUAACUUAACCAUGUAGUUCUGCUUAGUGGCAAUAUAGAGAAAUUAUUAAUUAGCUAAUUUUAUAACAGAACAUACAGAAUCUCCUUUAUAGCCUUAGGAAAAAGAUAAAACACUGGCAUUUACCAAUAUCUUAUGAAAAUAAGACAUUAAAGGAAAUAUUUAUAUCUAUAAUCUAUCUCUAUCAUCUAUCUAUCUAUCAUUUAUCUAUCUAUCUAGAAAGCUGAUAAUCACAGGAAUGUACAUAUGGGGAGAGUCAGACUGAGAUGCUGAGUUUAGGACUUUUAGAUGUAUUUUCUUAUGAUAGCUUUGUUUGUGACUCUUUAUAAAAGGUCAUUUGCAAGCAGGGCCCAGAUUGAAAAUUAUGGCCAAAUAAAUGAAAUGGGAAAUUAAUUUGUUUUAAAUGGUACUAGACAUUAUCAUAUACUUGUUCAGCCUAAUCAGACAAAUGGCUUCAAAUAAAGCUCAGAGACCUGCUAGAAAUAGGAACUGGCACACCCAUUGCGAGCAGACUGUGGACUCAGGGAGGAUAAAUCAGCAUGGCCAAGGAUAGCAAAGAGCCUGUGAGGAAAAAAGGGCAGAUUACUGCCUCCUCACACAGGGCACCAAACGAAAGGAACAGAGAGGAGACAAGGUACUAAUUUGCAGCCAUGCCAGAUUUAUCCAAAGAAAAUAAAUCUGCAGAGGUGGGUGACCAACUGCCAGCAUGCACACAGACUGAACACGUGGCAGAGGGCCCAGACCCCAGUAGGCUGGGCCUUUUUAUCUUGGGUGGGCUAGGAGUGAGGAAGGAGGGCAAUAGGUAGAGGUGAGCUUCCCCAUACAGGUUCUUCAGGUUUGGCCCACUGGCUUCCAAACCUGGGGACGAUAUAGGGGGUGGCCUGGGGAACAAUACAGGGUGUGAGACUGAACUGGUCUGUUGAAAGAAGGCAGGGUAACAAGACCUCAAAUGGCUGAGGUUAUGUCCUUGUUCCAUCAGAGCCUACUUGACAGAGCUUUGUUUUUUUUUUUUUUUUUAUUCCUUCUGAGUUUGAAGGUAAUUUUUUUUCUGUUUUUAAAAAUAACUUUACUGAAAUACAAUUACUUUAUUAUAAGUAACUUUAAAAGGUUCAUGGGAAGAGAAUUGGCAGGUUUAUUUUGGUACAAAAAUUUUGGAAACCCAUGUAUAGUAGGGAAAUGCAUAUCAUAAGAAAAGUACUAUUCACAGGUUUCAAAAUUUGUUUGUACCAAAAUAAAUCUGUCAAUUGCAUUCUCCAAAAGCUUUUUGAAGUACCUGCAUAAAAUGAACAGUUAUCAUGAUUCCUACCCCUUCGUGUUCACUUCUCAUUUCCCCUUCCCCCAAUUCCUAAGCAGCCACUGAUCUGCUUUCUGUCACUGUAAAAUAGUUUGCAUUUUCUAAAAUUAUGUAUGAACAAGAUCAUAUACUAUGUAUAUAUUUUUUGUUUGGAUUAUUUUACUCAAUUAUUUUGAAAGUCAUCUAUUCUAGAAUUAAUACUUCAUUUUUAUUGGUAAAAAAGUAUUUCAUUGCAUGAAUAAUCAUAGUUUAUUUACCCAUUCACCAAUCAAUGGACAUUUGAGCUGUAUCCAGUUAUUGGUUGCAAUAAGCGAUAUACUCAACUCUGUAUAUGGUCAUUUAUUCACAUUUUCUUGGUCAAAUACUUAAGUCCAUAUUUAAUUUUUAAAGAAAUAAUCAAUUUUACAUUUCCAAAAGAAGUAUAAGAGAGUUACAGUUAUUCUAGAACUUUACCAACAUUUGGUAUAGUCACUCUUUAAUUUUAGACAUUCUAGUUAAGGUACAAUAUUUCUCAUGAAAUCCUUGUUUUUAGUUUGUUCCUAUGAUGAAAUACAUUUACUGGCUUUUUUAAUUACACUGAUGCACUUUCCUAUUUCCACAUGCCCUCAUUUGGUAUGAAGUAUACUUUUUAUUUAGUUAGAUUGUGUUAAAAUUUUAGAAUGUCUAAAUUUAUGUUUGUAAAGGAUAUUGGUCUACAGUUGUCUUUUCUUAUAAUGUCUUUUAUUCUGGUAUUGAAAUCAGGAUAAUGCUGUAAACCCACCUCAUUGAGUUUGAAAAUAGUUCCUUAUUUUCAGAUUUGUGUUAAAAUUUGUGUAGAACAGGUAAUAUUUCUUAAAUGUUUGGAAGAAGCCAACAUUGAAGCCACUUGAGCUUAGAUAUUUCCUUGUGGGAUGAUUUUUAAACUAGAAAUUCAAUAUUUUUGAAAGACAGUCCAUUUCAGCUUGUCUGUGGUUUAUUUUUUUCUUGAGUUUUUCAGUGUUUUACAAGGAAUUUGUUCAUUUUACUUGUCAAAUUUACUGACAUAAAAUUCUCACAGUAGUCCUAUGUUUUCAUCAUAAAACCUUAGGACUUGAAAUGACAUUACUCUCAUUUAUGAUACUGGUAUUUUUGUCUCCAUUUUUUUCCUGGUCAGUCUGGCUAAAAGUUUAUCAAUUUAAUGAUAUUCUAAGAGACAACUUUUGAUUAUAUUGAUUUUUUCUAUCGUUUUCUAUUAUCUAUGAUCCCUGUUAUCCUGUUUCAUUACUUCUACUUUGUGUUUAUUAUUCUAUGUCUAGUUUCUUAAGGUAGACAUGGAAGUUACUGAUUUAAGACUUCUCUCUUCUAAUACAGACCUUUAGUUCUAUAAAUUCUUCCCUAAAUACUGUUUUAAUAAUAUCUCACAAAUUUUUCAUGCUGUGUUUUAAUUUUCAUUCAAUUCCAAACCACUAUUUUCCCUCUUUAUAUCGUUAACUAAUUGAUUAUUGCAAAGUUUUUGGGCUGGUGUUGUGGCAUAGCUGGUAAAGCUGCUGCCUACAGUGCCAGCAUCCCGUAUGUGCACCAGUUCAAUUCCUGGCAGCUCCACGUCCCAUCCAGCUCUCUGCUAAUAACCUGGGAAAGCAGCAGAAGACAGCCCAAGUCCUUGGGCAUCUGUACCCACCAGGGAGAAUGGAAGAAGCUCCUGGCUCCUGGUUUCAGAUCUGCCUCUCUCUAGCCAUUGCGGCCAUUCAGGGAGUGAACCAGUGGAUGGAAGACCUCUCUGUCUCUCCCUGUCUCUCUGUAACUCUUUCAAAUAAAACAAAUAAAUCUCCAAAAGCAAAAAAAAGUUUGCUAUUUAGUUUCCAAAUACUUGGGGAUUUUCCAGAGAUCUUUCUUUUAUUGACUCAUAAUUCUCAUGUGCUCACACAACAUAAUUUGUAUGAAAUUCCUUUUAAUUUUCUGAAGCUUGGUUUAUGGCCUAUGGUCUUGUUAGUAUGUAUUUCAUAGGCACCUGAAAAUUAUUUGUAUUCUUUUAAUGUUGGAUGGCAUGGCCUGUGAAUUUUAAUUUAGUCAAGUUAUUUGAUAGCAUUGUUCAAAUAUUUGUGUGCGUGUGUGGGGGGGACUAUUAAAUUCUUUUCUGGGGCUGGCAAGGCCAAUUGAGCUGCCACCAGAUGCUAGCAUCCUAUAUGGGCACCAGAUUGAGACCUGGCUGCUCCACUUCUGUUCCAGCUCCCUGCUAAUGUGUCUAGGAAAGUAGGGGAAGAUGGCUCAAGUAUUUACACCUCUGCAUCCAGGGAAACCUGGAAGAAGCUCCUGGCUCCUGGUUUCUGCCAGACACAGCACUGCCUGAUGCAGCCAUUUAGGAUUGAACCAGUGGAUGGGAGCUCUCUCUGCAACUUUGCUUUUCAAAUGCAUAAAAAACUUUAAGAAAAAAAAUUAUCUACUUGCUCUAUAAAAUGUUGAAAGACACUUAUAUCUCUCAUUGUAGUUGCAGAUUUGACUAAUUUUCCUUUUCAUUCUAUGAGAUUUUGCUAUAUGUAUUUUGAAACCAUCAUUAGAUGCAUAAAUAUUUAAGAUUAUUAUAUCAUCUAGAUAAUUUUACCCUUUUGUCAUUGCAAAAUGAUCUUUCACUGGUAAGAUAUUGUACUCUGGAUUUCCUUUGAUAUUAUUUAUAGCAUUCUGGAAUUAUUUUAAUUAACAUGGUAUGCUGCUUUCCAUCCUUUCACAUUGAUACUAUUUGUUUCCUUUAUAUACAAACUGUGAUUCUUGGAUGCCGUGCAUAUUUUGGUCUUACUUUUAUUAGACAAACAUGCUAAUCCUACUUUAAAUUGGAUUACUUAGAUUUGUUUUUUUAAUAUUAAAAAGUUUAAAUAUUUAUGCUUAAUCACAUUAUCCCUCUUAGUAUUUUUGUUUGUUUGUUCUACUUAAUAAUUUUGGCUGAAUACUGUAAUCAACACACAGUUAUUCUCAAGUGUAGAAACUUAACUGAAAAGUGAUCGCUGUUAAAUAUGAGUGAGAAUAAAAGAGGGAAGAGAUGUGCAAUUCGGGACAUGCUCAAGCUGACUUACCUCAAACAGUAGUGUUAGAAACAUACCAGGGGAUUCCAAUUCAAUCCCAUCAAGGUGGCAUGUACCAAGACCAUCUCACUAGUCCCAGUGAUCAAUUUCUGUUCACAAUUGAUCAUAAUGAUAGGACUAAGAGCAAAAGGGAGCACAUAAACAAGACUAGUGUCUGCAAAUACUAGCUGAUAGAAUAAAAAGGGAGAGAACAAUCCAACAUGGGAAGUGAGAUACACAGCAGACCCAUAGAAUGGCAGAUAUCCUAAACAGCACUCUGGCCUCAGAAUCAGCCCUUAAGGCAUGCGGAUCUGGCUGAAAAGCCCAUGGGAGUAUUACAGGCAUGGAAAGCCAAAACACUCUGGCAAAACCAAACCAAACCAAAACAAAACAAAAAAACCCUACAUGAAAGAUCUGUGCAAGUGAGAUCCCAGUGGAAAGAAUGGGGCCAUCAAAGAAGGAGGUACCUUUCUCUGAAGGGAGGAGAGAACUUCCACUUUGACCACAACCUUGUCUACAUAUGAUCAGAGUUGGUGAACUCAAAAGGCUUCCAUAGCCUUGGCGACUCAUGACAAGAGCCUAGGGUGAUUACUGAUGCCAUAAACAAGGCUGUCAAUUUGUUAAGUCAACAACAGGAGUCACUGUGCACUUACUCCUCAUGUAGGAGCUCUGUCCUUAAUGCAUUGUACAUUGUGAUUUAAUGCUAUUACUAGUACGCAAAGAAUACUUUACACUUUGUAUUUCUGUGUGGGUGCAAACUGUUAAAAUCUUUACUUAAUAUAUGCUAAACUGAUCUUCUGUAUAUAAAGAGAAUUGAAAAUGAAUCUUGAU